GCGCGAGUAGCUCAGCGGUAGAGCGUCUCCUUGCCAAGGAGAAGGCCACGGGUUCAAAUCCCGUCUCGCGCUCCA
rnacentral:tRNA from 1 species